GGACGGGACGAACACCGAUAUGCUUCGGGGAGCUGUAAGCAAGCUUUGAUCCGGAGAUUUCCGAAUGGGGAAACCCACCACUCGUAAUGGAGUGGUAUCCAUAUCUGAAUUCAUAGGAUAUGAGAAGGCAGACCCGGGGAACUGAAACAUCUAAGUACCCGGAGGAAGAGAAAGCAAAUGCGAUUCCCUGAGUAGCGGCGAGCGAAACGGGAUUAGCCCAAACCAAGAGGCUUGCCUCUUGGGGUUGUAGGACACUCUGUACGGAGUUACAAAGGAACGAGGUAGAUGAAGAGGUCUGGAAAGGCCCGCCAUAGGAGGUAACAGCCCUGUAGUCAAAACUUCGUUCUCUCCUGAGUGGAUCCUGAGUACGGCGGAACACGUGAAAUUCCGUCGGAAUCCGGGAGGACCAUCUCCCAAGGCUAAAUACUCCCUAGUGACCGAUAGUGAACCAGUACCGUGAGGGAAAGGUGAAAAGCACCCCGGAAGGGGAGUGAAAGAGAUCCUGAAACCGUGUGCCUACAAGUAGUCAGAGCCCGUUAACGGGUGAUGGCGUGCCUUUUGUAGAAUGAACCGGCGAGUUACGAUCCCGUGCAAGGUUAAGCAGAAGAUGCGGAGCCGCAGCGAAAGCGAGUCUGAAUAGGGCGCAUGAGUACGUGGUCGUAGACCCGAAACCAGGUGAUCUACCCAUGUCCAGGGUGAAGUUCAGGUAACACUGAAUGGAGGCCCGAACCCACGCACGUUGAAAAGUGCGGGGAUGAGGUGUGGGUAGGGGUGAAAUGCCAAUCGAACCUGGAGAUAGCUGGUUCUCUCCGAAAUAGCUUUAGGGCUAGCCUCAAGGUAAGAGUCUUGGAGGUAGAGCACUGAUUGGACUAGGGGCCCCUACCGGGUUACCGAAUUCAGUCAAACUCCGAAUGCCAAUGACUUAUCCUUGGGAGUCAGACUGCGAGUGAUAAGAUCCGUAGUCGAAAGGGAAACAGCCCAGACCGCCAGCUAAGGUCCCAAAGUAUACGUUAAGUGGAAAAGGAUGUGGAGUUGCUUAGACAACCAGGAUGUUGGCUUAGAAGCAGCCACCAUUUAAAGAGUGCGUAAUAGCUCACUGGUCGAGUGACUCUGCGCCGAAAAUGUACCGGGGCUAAACGUAUCACCGAAGCUGCGGACUGUUCUUCGAACAGUGGUAGGAGAGCGUUCUAAGGGCUGUGAAGCCAGACCGGAAGGACUGGUGGAGCGCUUAGAAGUGAGAAUGCCGGUAUGAGUAGCGAAAGAGGGGUGAGAAUCCCCUCCACCGAAUGCCUAAGGUUUCCUGAGGAAGGCUCGUCCGCUCAGGGUUAGUCGGGACCUAAGCCGAGGCCGAAAGGCGUAGGCGAUGGACAACAGGUUGAUAUUCCUGUACCACCUCCUCACCAUUUGAGCAAUGGGGGGACGCAGGAGGAUAGGGUAAGCGCGGUAUUGGAUAUCCGCGUCCAAGCAGUUAGG
rnacentral:rRNA from 1 species